rnacentral:lncRNA from 1 species
CUCUGCAAUCGUUUUGAUUACAACAGCUGGAAUUUCUCUAGGGCAAGAUCCAUCUCAAUUUUCUUUUUCAUAGAUUUCUUGAUUACUUUAGACAUAUAUUUUGUUACAGGAAUUUAAGAUAAUUUUAGCUAAAUCAAACACACAUACAUGCAUAGGCGUUGGAAUUCCAUUUGGAAUUACUUCAGAGUUUGCUGUUAAUUUGUGGAGAAUUGAUAUGUUUUCAUAGGUUGUGCAAAAGUAACUGUAGUUUUGCUGUUACUUUUAUUACGUCUUUCCAUCCAAGAUCCAAAUAUUCCUUUGCAAACAUUCAGAUCUUGAUUUCCACCUUCCAGCAUUUCAUGACUGUUCAAUGGAUUUUUUGCAGGCUCAGUCCCCAGGCCUGCCUCCAGCUCCCAGGCCCUCUUCUCUCCAGUGAGGGCUCAUUCCUGUGCCAUGUUUACAGGGCAAGGCAGGUGCCAUGGUGCCCCUUGGCCUGGCAUCUGUCUUGGCACAGGUCAGCCUUUCCCUUGGGGUGACCCUUAUUCCUGGCAGAGUCUGCCCAUGGGAGACUUGGCUCAUUUGCCCAAGCAGCCCUCACCCCUCUCUUUCAAGCCCCCAUGGAACCGUGAGGCUGGGCUGGGCCUGUGCCCAGUGCCGGGGGCAAAGAGGUGGUAGACAGGUCCUUUCCUUCAAAUGCAUUUUCCCAUUGGGCAUCACGGGUGUCGAGAGCUAUUAAAAUGGAUGAAAAUGGGGACCAGGCCUGAGGAAGCCUGAGUGGACAAAGCCAGGCAGACCUCAUGAGUGACCUCAGCCUUGCUUGAUUUGAAAACGUGAGCAAAACUUCACUAAGCUCUUCCUUGUCAUUUACAAGGAAAUGCAUUAAAGAAAAACAGGAGGGAACAGACGCCGGUGUCCAUGGUGGAAGGGCAGGGGCUGCCUUCCACCUCCCUGACUCCCCCUUUCUCUGAGUCCUGGGUCUGCAUCCCAUGUUGGACCCGAGGUCUCUCCAGCACCAGAACACAUUCUCAGCGCACCCACUUCCAGUGCUGAAGCAGAGGCUUGGAUAGGUGGCUGUGACCUGCGCCCACCUUCAAGGGUCCCUGGGGGCUGCCCGGUGCUCUGGCAGGCUCCACAGUGUCCCACUCGUAGAUGUGAUUUGGCAGAGGGUGAACAUUGCUGCACCAAGAGAGGAUGGCUUGUGGCUGGAGAGGAAGACUCCAUCACCACACAGGGGAGGCAGCUCUGGAGCACGUGGGAGGCUCCCGGGCUGCCACUGUGUCAACACUCCCUGCUGGAGGGAACAGGGCACACAGAUCAUGGAGCAGAGAAACACACCAGACCUGCUGCCUGAAAGAAGGCCUUGUCACAGGCUGGAGUGCCAGCUUCUUCCCUGCCCUGGGUGUAUGUGCUUGAACAAGGCCACUUAGCCCUCACAGGCCAGGGUUUCAGCAUCUGUAGGACACAGUGAUGCCUGCUCCUGGCAGGAGGUGAAACCAAGGGGCUGGAUGAGGCCACCCACCAGAGAGGCUGGCCCUGUCCAGCGCCAUCCGAGCCACCCGACCGUCGGGAUCCCCAGCGACGGACCUCCAAUGCCCCACCAGACUCCGAGGUCCCACUUUACUGCCUUGGAGUUCCCCUUUGGCUUGGCCUCCUCCAGAUCUCCCUCAGCCAUCUUCCCACGGACUCCCCUCACCCAUCGGACCCAGGAGAGGACCUCACUGCCACUGGGAUUCUCACUUCCAGAGCCUCAUCCCAGGCAUCUGUGCUGGAUCUCCCAGCUAAACUCCUGCCACCUGCUCUGGUUGGGACUUUUCUGGAGAAGCCUGAUGUGGGGUGAGCAGGGAAACGGGGGCUUCUCCCCUAGCCUCUCCCAGAGCUGCCCCUCUCCCCAGGAACAAGCGGCUGUAACCCCAACAUAUACGGUCUCCCUGCAGCAGCUUCUAACUCAUCAUGUUGUGUACUCUUUUUUCCAAAUUGUCCUAAUUAUUUUCCUAAUUAUAAAAACCAGUGUUUGGGAGGUUCCCAAGAGAGUUUACAAGUGUGCCUGGUUUUCCUGGGUUGAGGCACGUGGAGGCCCUCAGCUCUCAAGGUUGCAGCCUGAAUGUGAAUUCUCAGAGGGGUUAAGAAUGAAAUUGCAGUCUUGCUAAAAUGGCAGGAAAUCCGUCUUUUCCUGUUUCUCUUUCUUCUUCUGCUUCUUUUUUUAAUGUUUAGGGAGGGAAAAUAUCCAUGUGCUUUGAGCAUAUGUUCUUCCUACUGUCCCCGUGGAAGGGCAGGGGAAAGUACUUACAAUAAUAGUCCUCACUCUUUUCUAAUCAUGGGAGAUUGACCUACUGGGGA